rnacentral:rRNA from 1 species
CCCUUAGAUGUUCUGGGCCGCACGCGUGCUACAAUGGCGGCAGCAAGGCGUUACCUUACUAAAUCAGUAUGGUCGAUCGUCAAACGCGCGUCAUGAUUGGGCUUGGUGUUUGCAAUUUAUCGCCACAAACAAGGAAUGCCUAGUACCCGUCAGUCAUGAGCUGAAGAGGAAUACGUCCCUGCCCUUUGUACACACCGCCCGUCGCUCCUACCGAUUGAAUGGCCCGGUAAGCAUUCUGGAAUGGAUGUUCUCUUAGAACAAUAUCCGUGAAAUUAUGCGAACCUUGUCAUUUAGAGGAAGGAGAAGUCGUAACA